rnacentral:rRNA from 1 species
UACGUAGGUGGCAAGCGUUGUCCGGAAUUAUUGGGCGUAAAGCGCGCGCAGGUGGUUCUUUAAGUCUGAUGUGAAAUCUCGCGGCUCAACCGCGAGCGGUCAUUGGAAACUGGGGAACUUGAGUGCAGAAGAGGAAAGUGGAAUUCCACGUGUAGCGGUGAAAUGCGUAGAGAUGUGGAGGAACACCAGUGGCGAAGGCGACUUUCUGGUCUGUAACUGACACUGAGGCGCGGAAAAGCGUGGGGAGCGAACAGG